UUGCUGGAUGUGUCACUGAGGAUUUGGCACAUAGCAUUCAAACACUGUACCUGGAUUUAUUUCAUGUAUUCAUGUGCUUUUGUGUUUCUACUAGUAGCCGAACUGAAAAACAACAACAUUAGAAGUUUAAAUCAGAGGCCUUUCUCCCCACUUCAAAAUAUGACGAGACAUAAAACCAUGGGAAUGCACCACCUGAAUGCUGCCUGUAGGGGGUUGAGGACAGCAGGCAGAGUGAAUCUUGCCCAUUGGAUUGCCUUGAGAAGGUCUCUGAAAAUAGGCCAGUGGGGCCCUCUCCCCUUUCAACUGAGGACAGUAAUGUGGAACAGGAGCUCACUGACACAGCAUCUGACCACCCGGUGCCCAAGUACAAGAAAUAGAAGCGGAGGAAGAACUGCUUCAAGCGCUUACUAGUCUGGACAUGGAAGACAUUCUGCUGCUACAGCAGUGUCAACAAUGAAGAGGACUGAAUAAUGCUACGAAGGUUUUUUAGCAGCAACACCUUGCUGGCUGGAUUUCUCACAGGAAAUGUACAGAGUUUGCAUGUGAUAUGGUACCUUGCAUUGACACUGUGGGAAAUCAAUGUCAGCUGUCAUGAGUUGUGCUGUAAAAAACCUUCAUGGUUGUUGAGGGUGGCACAGUGGCAGCAGUCAGUGGUUAGCACUGUGGCCUCACAGAGAGCACCUAACAUCUGUUCCUCUCUGAAGAGUUUGCAUUUUCCCUCCAUGUCAGCAUGGGUUUUCUCUAGGUCCUCCGGUUUCCUCCCACAGUCCAAAAAACAUGCAGGUUAAUUGGAGACUCAAAAUUGACACUUUAUCUGAUCCUAUUUGAACUAA